rnacentral:lncRNA from 1 species
UUGAUUUGCAUGCACACACUAGAUCUAUGGAGAGGAUGAAGAAAAUUACAGAGAAAGUUCUUGAGAGAGAUAAGUGAGAAUGAAUUACGUGGUAAUACCCGUGAGUAAAUUCCACAGCGGACGGGCUAUUUAUAUUAAUGACGGGCUAUUAAUAUAUAACAGUACGUCAAAUAUUAAUCAGGCUCCACAACCUAACACUACCUAGUCCCACUUGUGGGAUUUCACUGGGUAUGUUGUCGUUAUUGUU